UACGGGAGGCAGCAGUGGGGAAUAUUGCACAAUGGGCGCAAGCCUGAUGCAGCCAUGCCGCGUGUAUGAAGAAGGCCUUCGGGUUGUAAAGUACUUUCAGUCGUGAGGAAGGUGUUAAGGUUAAUAACCUUAGCAAUUGACGUUAGCGACAGAAGAAGCACCGGCUAACUCCGUGCCAGCAGCCGCGGUAAUACGGAGGGUGCGAGCGUUAAUCGGAAUUACUGGGCGUAAAGGGCACGCAGGCGGUUAAUUAAGUUGGAUGUGAAAUCCCCGGGCUUAACCUGGGAAUGGCAUUCAAGACUGGUUAGCUAGAGUCUUGUAGAGGGGGUAGAAUUCCAUGUGUAGCGGUGAAAUGCGUAGAGAUGUGGAGGAAUACCGGUGGCGAAGGCGGCCCCUGGACAAAGACUGACGCUCAUGUGCGAAAGCGUGGGGAGCAAACCAGGGAUUAGAUACC
rnacentral:rRNA from 1 species